rnacentral:lncRNA from 1 species
GUGGGAGGAAAAGGAGGAAGGGAAUGAAGUAACGCAGCAGUGGGAAGAUGAUUGGGAUGAUGAUGAUGUCAACGAUGACUUCUCUCUGCAGCUGAGGAGGGAACUGGAGAACAAUGCCGAGAAAAACUGAGCUGAGCUGAGCUGAGCUGAGUAACUUGUCAUUGUUGCGUGUCAUAUCUUCCUAUUCUGUUGUCACUUGAAGAUGGCGAGUUUCAAAUCUUUUGUAUGCAAAAGAACUUGUGAACUAUUAACAAUAUUCUUAGAAGCUCAGUGCAAUUUGUUAAGUGCAGAACCCAUAUGGUUUUGUUAAUUCCGAUCUUUUUCAAGAGUUUAAUAACUGCCAAAGAAUCAUUUCAACUUUUCGUGCACUGAUUUU